AGACCCUCAAGAGAGAGGGGACAUUCACUCAAUGACUGAAUGACCAGGGUUGAUAGACAGAUUUCAGCUUUGUUAUGUUCCCCAUUUUAGUGAGUGUGAAGUUAUUAAUUCCUUCAACAGAGCUUCUCUGUUUUAACAAAAUUUAGGGCGCCCUGACUCGCACUUCAUUUCCUAACGGCUGGCAAGUCUGUCACAGGUGAAUCCACUAGAAGAAAACAGGCGAGACAGCGUGAAGGCCAAGAGUGCUUUUCAGAUCUUUCCUCAACCCAAAGCAAUCCCAUGAAUAGCUAGUUUGGUGAUUUUCCACCAAUUCUAAAGAGUUCCGUAAGAUCAUAGAACUAACCAUGGAUGCCUACACAGAUGCUCCUUACCCACUGGUCUGGCAUCUUGGUGGACACCCUGACACUUACCUGCUGCUUCUCUCCCUCCACCCUGCACCCACCUAUCCAUCUCCCUGCCUGAGAGUCAGCUCACUCCCUUCCACCACCACCCCCCCACCACCCCCGCAGCCCCUGCCACCACCAGAAGGAGCGGAUGGGAGGGGCAGCCUCAAGACCACAGGCGCUACCCAACUCAACUAUGGGGAACUUAUGAUACGUUAAAAACAACACAUUUAAGAGGAGCUCGAGCAAAGAAGACAGACAUUCAAUGUCAGCUAAGGCCUCAAAAUAAAAUAUUGACUUCAAGACAGGCUUUUUGAAAGACUCUGGGAGAAGCCAAUAAAAAAAAUUCAUUUUCACUUUAAUCUUCUGAAACCCACCCUCCUUGCAUCUUUUUCUCCAUACUGUAAAUUAUCUUUACUCACCAACACCCAAUUAUACCUCUCCUGCUCCUUCUUCUCCUUCCCCAGACCUGCUAGGUCAACUACCUGUUCCCAGCGUUUUUCUCAGGAAAGGGUUACAUUUCACAGUAUGCCCUCAAAAUUGCUCGGCUAAAAGGCUGAUCUGGAAGUCAAAUUUAAGUUAAGGGCUAUAAUUAAGGAUUCCAAAACCUCAGGAAGACAGACAAAAGAAAUCUGCAGAAUUAUGGAUUUUGUUAGUUAGUUACCAUCCUGGAUGACCAGAUCCAUACCAAUGAGUUCACUCAACUUUAAGCCCCUCACGUGGGGGAAUGUUUAAGAGAAUGGGAAAAGCCAAGGAAGGAUUUAAAUAACCCAGCUGCACAUGAUUCAGAUAUUGGCCUUGAGAGGACAAGCAAACUAGGAAAUGAAAUACAUAUGGCCAUUACCGAAGUCUUCCCCUUAAAGGGAGAUUGGACAAAAAGUCAAAGUUGCGAAUAAAAUGAAGAUGACUCAGUAGGACACUAGACUUCAGGAAACCUUUAAACAAUAUUCUAAGAUCCAUCUAGCAGCUGAAGUGAAAGGAGCCUUGCCCUC
rnacentral:lncRNA from 1 species